UACGAAGGGGGCGAGCGUUGUUCGGAUUUACUGGGCGUAAAGGGCGCGCAGGCGGCUCAUUUUGUCAGGCGUGAAAGCCCCGGGCUUAACCUGGGAGGUGCGUUUGAUACGGAUGGGCUAGAGUUCGGGAGAGGAGAGUGGAAUUCCCAGUGUAGAGGUGAAAUUCGUAGAUAUUGGGAAGAGCACCGGUGGCGAAGGCGGCUCUCUGGACCGAGACUGACGCUGAGGCGCGAAAGCGUGGGGAGCGAACAGG
rnacentral:rRNA from 1 species